rnacentral:rRNA from 1 species
UACGAGGGGGGCGAGCGUUGUUCGGAAUUAUUGGGCGUAAAGGGUGCGUAGGCGGUUUGGUAAGUCUUAUGUGAAAUCUACAGGCUCAACUUGUAGUCUGCAUGAGAAACUGCCGGGCUUGAGUAUGGGAGAGGUGAGUGGAAUUCCUGGUGUAGCGGUGAAAUGCGCAGAUAUCAGGAGGAACACCGGUGGCGAAGGCAGGUCUCUGGGCAUUAACUGACGCUGAGGAGCGAAAGCAUGGGGAGCGAACAGG